rnacentral:rRNA from 1 species
GACGAACGCUGGCGGCGUGCUUAACACAUGCAAGUCGAACGGAAAGGCCCUGCUUUUGUGGGGUGCUCGAGUGGCGAACGGGUGAGUAACACGUGAGUAACCUGCCCUUGACUUUGGGAUAACUUCAGGAAACUGGGGCUAAUACCGGAUAGGAGCUCCUGCUGCAUGGUGGGGGUUGGAAAGUUUCGGCGGUUGGGGAUGGACUCGCGGCUUAUCAGCUUGUUGGUGGGGUAGUGGCUUACCAAGGCUUUGACGGGUAGCCGGCCUGAGAGGGUGACCGGCCACAUUGGGACUGAGAUACGGCCCAGACUCCUACGGGAGGCAGCAGUGGGGAAUAUUGCACAAUGGGCGGAAGCCUGAUGCAGCAACGCCGCGUGCGGGAUGACGGCCUUCGUGUUGUAAACCGCUUUCGCCUGUGACGAAGCGUGAGUGACGGUAAUGGGGAAAGAAGCACCGGCUAACUACGU